ACGGGAGGCAGCAGCUAAGAAUAUUCCGCAAUGGACGAAAGUCUGACGGAGCGACGCCGCGUGGAUGAUGAAGGCCGGAAGGUUGUAAAAUCCUUUUAUAACUGAGGAAUAAGUAGUGGAGUGGAAAGCCAUUACGGUGACUGUAGGUUAUGAAUAAGCAACGGCUAAUUACGUGCCAGCAGCCGCGGUAACACGUAAGUUGCGAGCGUUGUUCGGAUUUAUUGGGCGUAAAGGGCAUGUAGGCGGUCUUGCAAGCUUGGUGUGAAAGGCGGAAGCUUAACUUCCGAAUUGCGUUGAGAACUGCAGGACUUGAGUCACUGAGGGGCAAUCAGAAUUCCAGGUGUAGGGGUGAAAUCUGUAGAUAUCUGGAAGAAUACCAAUGGCGAAGGCAGAUUACCAGCAGAUGACUGACGCUGAGGUGCGAAGGUGCGGGGAGCAAACAGGAUUAGAUACCCUGGUA
rnacentral:rRNA from 1 species